rnacentral:lncRNA from 1 species
UUGUCUAUCUAUCAUUGAUUCUCAAGUCCAAUUUUUGGGUUCCCCGAAGCCCCGAAUGGAAUGGAUCGUUUCUGCCAACGAAAUGAACGCGGAGCCCGUUCCGAAUGCUUCUACGAUCCGGAAGUUCUCGCGAAGAGAAUAAGAUGCUGCUCCCCUUCCCUCUUUCUUUUCCCGCUUUGCUAAUCUUCCCCUCUAACGCGGGCCGGGCGGCGACGGGCGCGGGAGGAAGAAACCUAAGAGAAGACGCUCGUCUCGGGC